CUUAGAAGUCGAACACCGAAUCCAUCGACGAGGGCGGCCGGUCCAUAGUCCAUACGGAAGAAGAGCAAGAGCAGGUCAGCAGCACAAGCAGCAGCAAGCAAGAAGAGCGGACAGAAAAUAAGCCAUAGAUCAGAUCCAAAUCCAAGCAUUUCUUAGAUGGCCGGCGCGGGCGACCACCAUGAGUGCUUAAUCAAGAUCCACACAACACAAUUAAGCUACACAGAUAACCAGGCCCGAACACACGCCCGUUCUUUCUACAACCGCCACACGCACAACGAGACGCAUUAUUCAGCAGUCCAGUAUAGCUAGCUGCGUAGGCUCAAACUGACCAUCUCGUCGGACGCGCGCGCGCAGCCAUGCUCGAUCGCUACGAGCCGCCGCCGUUGCCGGUGUCGUCGUUUCCUCCCCCGCCGCCGCUGCCGCCGCUGCCGGAGGUCGCGGGGGUGCCGCCGCCGCCGGCACCGGUCAAGUCGGCGAUGAUCGUCUUGAUGAUGCUGCCCCGCUUGGGGUUCCGGUUCCCGUCGGGCUUCCUCCUCUGGCCCUGGCCGUCCAUGGCGUCGCGCGCGUGCAAGCAAGCCCCGGCAGGCCGGCCCAGAGAAGCGUAGGCGAGUGGACGAGUGUGGUGGGUGCGUGCGCGUGAGCUAGAGUGGGAGGCCGCGGCCACGGGGAGGUGGCUUUGUAGCGG
rnacentral:rRNA from 1 species